GUCCAGUAAGAGUCUGUACAGGUGUGCGUGUCUACAGUUUUUACAGAAAUCCUGAAGUCUUUCCUGUUGUCUGUGUCUGAGCUCUGUGUGUCUGUGUGUUGCAGGGAGGGCCGAGUCUCAGCCCAGUGGGAUGGAAGAGAGCCAGAUUCGGCGUGGAGAUUACAUCAGGAAGGUGUUCAGUGUGCUGACAGUGCAGUUGCUGGCGAUCCUGAGUGUCCUGUGUCUGCUCCUGCUCUGUGAGCCCCUGAAGGAGUUCGUGAAGACCAACCUCUGGAUCUCCCUCAAUUCCUACCUCAUCUUCAUCCUGGUUUCCGCCGUGCUGCUCUUCUGCCUGUCCUGCAGGAGGGCCGUGCCCCGGGGCACUCCAGGCAUGGUGGGUAGCGAGAUCAGCCUUCCUUGUUGUGGUGAUUGGUGUCCCAUGGGUGCUCCCUGUCCGUACAGCCGUGCUGCUGGGACGGGGCCGGAGGCAUGCCGUUCCGUGUCGUGCAAGUCGCUGUCGUGUUCAGGGCAGCGGGGUGGUGAGUUGGCCCCCUGGAGUCCGCCGCCCGGUUUCACUUUCCAGGUUUCAGUUGCCACAUGUCUUGAGCGCGCAGGCCACUGGGUGGCGCUGCUCGGGCUGGCGCGCGGCGCCCGGGGAAGGUGGGUGCGUACCGGAUGUCGCCGCUCUGGGCUGUGGUGUCGUGGGGCGAAACGCUUCGCUCGGGGCGGCGGGGCGCUGGCUUGGCUGGGCAUUGGGGAAGCUCCCAAAAUCCCCUGCUGCCUCGCCGCUGUCGGCCAUCUUGAAGAAGAGGGGUUCUGCUGUGGCCAGGGCUGAGGGCGCUCCCCCGUGAGGUGUACCGUUGAGGUUCUCCGUGCGGCCGACGGUCCCACGGCCGUGAGGGGGCGUGUUCUGGAGCUUCCACCCUGGGUUGGGUCUGUCUGGUCACCCUGUAGCCCCCCCCCACUGCUGCAACCAUAUCUCAUCUGGCUGUCUCUACACCUCCCUCUAUCUCGAGGGACUAUCUCUCUCUGA
rnacentral:lncRNA from 1 species